rnacentral:rRNA from 1 species
UAGGGAAUAUUGGUCAAUGGGUGAGAGCCUGAACCAGCCAUGCCGCGUGCAGGAAGAAGGCCUUCUGGGUUGUAAACUGCUUUUGCCAGGGGAUAAAAUGACUGUGCGCAGUUAAUUGAAGGUACCUGGUGAAUAAGCCACGGCUAACUACGUGCCAGCAGCCGCGGUAAUACGUAGGUGGCAAGCGUUGUCCGGAUUUAUUGGGUUUAAAGGGUGCGUAGGCGGCCCUGUAAGUCAGUGGUGAAAUACUCUAGCUUAACUAGAGGGGUGCCAAUGAUACUGCAGGGCUUGAGUACAGAUGAGGUAGGCGGAAUUGACGGUGUAGCGGUGAAAUGCAUAGAUAUCGUCAAGAACACCGAUAGCGAAGGCAGCUUACUGGGCUGUAACUGACGCUGAUGCACGAAAGUGUGGGGAUCAAACAGGAUUAGAUACCCCUGUAGUCC